UAUGCACUAUUUUCCAUGUGUCAUUAUCCUCCAUAGCUUUUAGCUCCUGUCUCAUAGCUUCUCUCCAAUGUGACAAGUGUUUGCAGGAUAUGGACUUUGAGAUGGGAUAAGCUGUAACACUACUUGAUAUAUAAGCUAUCCAAGUCAAUAUUGAAGUUAUUUAUAUACUUCCAUUUCGGAUAUAAUAUCUUGAUCAAACUGGAGAUUUUAUUAAUCCAAACAAACAGCAGACUAUAGAGGGUUCUAAGCACAAAAGAGCUUCACACUUUAGAACCAGGAGCAGUAUAGCCAUUCACAACAGACAAACCUCAUGGCUUAAAACCAACCUCCACAAACAAGAAGCAUAGCAACCCAAGAGAAAACUGGACAGCAGGGUUAGGCAGAUCCAUCCCAACCAUCAGAAAAAGAGUAUAGCUCCUUCAUACACAACAAGUGGCAACCACACGAAUGAAUAAACAUCAAGUCGGUUCAAUUGGGGUACACCUGCUUCUGGAAGACAGAGAGCAAGGGUGGACAGACAAACCCGGAAACCAGACCAGCAAGAACAAACAACGGAAUAGAGCAAUAAAUAUGAAGAUAACCUCAACGCCAAAGAUAGCAGCAAUAGCACCGCAAAGAAAGCAGAGAAUAUCAGCGGGAUAGAAAGCGACAGCCACCACGCAACAACAGCUAAUAAUUGAAGGCAGGGGAGAAGCAGCUACCACCACGAAGAAGACAUAGACUCCUUGUGAACACCAUGUCGUUUUAAGUCAUCCAAAAAGGAAUUCCCCUCCUUUAAGCUAUGCUAGAAUGUGACAUCACCAAGCUGUAAAACCAAAGAAUCAAUCUCCUUCUGGUAUGAUUGGUGGAUAGAGGACUCUUCACUUAAAAAUUGUUACUCACGCAUUUUCACUCUUGCUGAAAACAAAUCUGGCACAAUUAGUGAA